rnacentral:rRNA from 1 species
AGUUGGAUUUCUGUUAAUAAUUUAUAUAUAAUAUUUUUAAUAUUUAUAUAAUAUUAACAUAAUUCAUAUUACUAUAUUAUUAUUAGUAUAUGAAAUUUUACUUUGAGAAAAUUAGAGUGCUUAAAGCAGGCAUAUGCCUUGAAUACUCCAGCAUGGAAUAAUAUAAAAGAUUUUUAUCUUUUUUAUUGGUUCUAAGAUAAAAAUAAUGAUUAAUAGGGACAGUUGGGGGCAUUUGUAUUUAACAGUCAGAGGUGAAAUUCUUAGAUUUGUUAAAGACAAACUAGUGCGAAAGCAUUUGCCAAGGAUGUUUUCAUUAAUCAAGAACGAAAGUUAGGGGAUCGAAGACGAUCAGAUACCGUCGUAGUCUUAACCAUAAACUAUGCCAACUAGAGAUUGGAGGUUGUUCCUUACUCCU